rnacentral:lncRNA from 1 species
CUUUGGAACACUUCAUGCUCUGUUAUAUUCUUAAAGCCUUACUAUUAAGAUUAAAAUUUCUAUUCUGCCACUUAACAGGUAUGUGAAUAUGGACAAGCCACUUAACCUCUCCAUCCUCUAGCUUCCUUAUCUCUCAUACAAAGGAAGUGCUGCCCUUGCACAACCCCACUGCUACACUGUGUAAAAAGAGCAUGAAACCAGAUAAACCACAGGAAUUCUUCUCGUUUUCUCAUUUGUGAUCAAAGAAAAUAACUAAAAGAGUGUCAGAAAAAUCUUCAUGUAAAUUAUGAACUUCCUCUGGAUUUUCCUCCUUUGGCCUGGUUACUCUCCACUAGUCUGUCAGAUUGCUGAUCCAUUCUUCAGCAUCCUUUACUCUGGUGAUUCCCUCUGA